UACGAAGGGGGCUAGCGUUGCUCGGAAUCACUGGGCGUAAAGCGCACGUAGGCGGCUUUGUAAGUUAGAGGUGAAAGCCCGGGGCUCAACUCCGGAAUUGCCUUUAAGACUGCAUCGCUAGAAUUGUGGAGAGGUAAGUGGAAUUCCGAGUGUAGAGGUGAAAUUCGUAGAUAUUCGGAAGAACACCAGUGGCGAAGGCGACUUACUGGACACAUAUUGACGCUGAGGUGCGAAAGCGUAGGGAGCAAACAGG
rnacentral:rRNA from 1 species